AAAUUUGGUUUGAAAUGAAAUUUGAGUCUUGAGAGAGGGCUGAUAUGAAGGAGAAUCAAACAAGCCACAUGGGAGCAUCUGAAGGCCUGGAGAUAAGGGCCUGUUGCAUGGCUGUGAAAAUUUGGCCUUUAAAAUAACUAGGCAUGGGCCAGAAAUCACAGCCGGCGGCUGCGACCACCCAAGGCAGGAGAUCCAGCGGGGGACUAUGGAGCUCAGUGGAGCUGCGGCCUGGGAGAAGCCCACCCAAGAGAACCAUGUAACUAGAAACCAUCACAUUCGGCUUCGUGUGAGGGAGAAGCAGGUGUUUCAUUGCACGCAGUUACUGAGAUCUGGGGUUGUUUGUUAUUGCAGCAAGGACCCACCCUAACACACGAGGUGUUAUAUGCAUUUUACAGAUUGCCAAGAUGGUACAGACAGCAGAAGUGGCAAAACAACACUUAAACUCAAACCUGCCCAACUUCAAAGUCCACGCCCUUCCCUGGGCUUCAGACUGCCGUCUUUGAUGCUAUCUUUCAUUGAGAUGUUGUUUGCAUUAAAUGGGGGAUCUUGCGGCACACGGUGGACCUUGCCCAGCACCCACUCUUCCUAGGGCCAGCCUUACUCUGUGGGGUCAGCCUUUGACCGUCUGGGCCAUGAAGGUGGCUGAUGAGGCCCCUUCGACAGCCAAGUUGGGGCACAAUCUCC
rnacentral:lncRNA from 1 species